AUGCUGCGUGGAGGAAAAGAGGAAACCAGAUGAAUGAUGAUGAGUGAAUGUUGACAGAAAAAUCAAAGAGAAGGAAAAAAGCGAUGUGUUGACAGCGAGGAGAAAUUGAAUUAGCAGCUGCAGCACCGGGAACAUUGGAUCUUAUUAGGAGCGCAGCAGAGGAGCAGCUACCUGCAGGAUAAAUAUGUUUGAUAAAAGGGAAGCUGAUCCAGAAAAAUUAUGCUCAAGAAACUGAUUCAAAUCUUAUCUUCUUCCGAUCCAGCAGCAACACUGAUCUCAGAUCAGGGAGAACCUGGACUGUACAGGUCUGAACACACUGAUGGUGAGUUUAACAAUGCUGUCCCUGGGUCAGUGGCUCCCAACAUAUUGUUAAAGGAACUACUGGAAAGGGAUUUCAUACUUUUAGAUUUUAAAUGUUUACAAAAUGUACAAAUCAUUAAAAUAGUUAACUCUUCUUAUACAUGUAUUUAUCUGCAUGUUAUUCAAUGACAUGGACCUGAAAUGUAUUUCUUUAACUCAGAAUAAACUUAGAAAAACGCGUAAUAACGCCUUCCUCUCUUACAAGUCAGCAUACAGCAUUCUGAUCAUUUAAAGAGACUCAUUUUGAUGAACUGUAUCUGAGGUCUAUGAGAUGAAAACCCUUUUGUAAAUGAUACAAUGAUACAUUGCCUAUAUGGUCAAAUUGCCAACUAUUCUUAAAAUUGGAUCAAACUAAGAUGAUAACAUGAUUUCUGAUAGCUCGCCUCUAACAGGAUUUUAAUGUUCACAUCUAAAUAGCAAACAAAUCAAUAGUCACAGGGUCGACUUUGGCAUAUAUGGUAGAAUUCUUUUUAUUAACUUACGUUUUUGACAUAAAGGACCACAGCCCAGUGUCACCUGUCUCAACCCAAUUUUUAUCUGUAAAAAACUAAUUGCUACAAGUGAUGUUCCUGCUGAUCUGCAUUUGUAUUUACUUUAGUGAGAGUGGAAACAGGAGCGGUCACAUUGUGAACGAGGGCCAUGAGAUCUAAAAGUUUGGAUAAGAUUAGCAAGCGGCACAAUUUUAUGCAUCAGCUUCAAAUGUUGGCGCUUGCUUGAAAAACAACAAGUGAGUGUUUUCCCUUAGGUCCCAAAGCACUGGGAGAUAUUUCUGCUCGUUGCUUUUGAUAAACGAAGCAAGUGUAAAGGGUUUUCUACCUAGUAAAGCCUCUAAAUUAGAAACAAUAUAGCAAGGCUAUAACAAUUUGAAACUAAAGAUUAUAAACAAAAGUUUGCGGUAAUAUUAUAUUAAGUUAAUGAUAAAAACUUAAAACCCAAUGUUUAUUAUAAUACAAGUACCAGACAGACAUGACAUAGCUAAAGCUAAACUGUAAACAGAGCCCUAACGCUCAGUAGAUGCAUGUGAAUAGAGACUUCCCUAUACAAACAUAAUCCAUUAACAUUGGCAUCACAUCAUUCAUUAUUUGAACCCUUUUUUUAAACGGGUAUUUAAUAUGCUUGGAAGCAUAUAUAACAUUUAAAGUUAUUUCAAGACAGGUGCUACAGUAUAUUUGAAAUGAAUUACUAUUAUUUAUUUAGGGAAUGAUGGUUGAAAAGAUUAUUAUUUUAGUUUCACUUGCAUCCUUGAUUUUUAAUUACAUGAGAUACUUUUGUUGUGUUCAUGCACUUGGAGUGUGCAUAAUGUGUUUGACUGCUUGUGUGUGGACCCCAGGAAGAAUGGCCAAAACUAAUGCUAAUGCUAAUGGGGUUCCACCAAACACAUCCCAGAGUAAGCAAUAAGUGUUAGCAUGCUUUGUCCCAGUCAGAUAUGAGAGUUUGUUCCAGUUAAAAAGUCUUACCUGUGGAUCAGUUCUUGCUUACCAAGCUAAUGCUAAUGUUUGUAGGGUUAGGGUUAGGGUUCAUUCAGCAGAAGAGUUGUGACUGCUGGCAAGCCUACAGUUUUCUGCCAUGUUACUGAAAGUUACCAAGUUUGGACUCAACAUAGGUUUGGACGCAGGAUGUUGGAUUGGAGACUUUAAAAUUCGCUCCAUUAACUCUUCAGAAAAUGGACUCUCUUAUCCAAAUGGUCUUGAAUCAGUGAGUAAGGAUUUAAUGUAACGCUCCAUGACUCUGGCAGGACAUGGCUUUCUGAGUUACUGCUAGACUUCACUAUAAGGUUCACUAUUUGAGCAUUUCUUCUCAAAAUCAAUACUGUAUGUCUUUGCCUAUGUCUGCUUGUUCAAAAUAUCCAAAUAUAAACAUUCAUUUUAAACUUCCAUAUGUACGUUUUCAGGCUUUUAGUGCGUUUUUAAAUGCGAUAUUGUUAUUUAUCACCAAUAGGAUAUCCCCAGCAUUUAUAAUGUGUAAUAUAUUGUGAGUAUUUAAACCUUGUAAAAUGUUUUGUUGGAAACAAAUAAAAAGCUUCAAGGUGAAA